rnacentral:rRNA from 1 species
UACGAAAGGUGCGAGCGUUAUCCGGAUUCACUGGGCGUAAAGCGCGCGUAGACGUUUUUGUAACUCUUUGGUAAAAUUUCAGGGCUCAACUCUGAAAUCGUCAAGGAAAGUGCAAAAAUAGAGGAAUGGAGAGGGAAGUGGAAUUCUCGGUGUAGGAGUUAAAUCCGUUGAUAUCGAGAGGAACACCAAAAGCGAAGGCAGCUUCCUGGCCAUCUCCUGACGUUCAGGCGCGAAAGCGUGGGUAGCGAAAAGG